UAAAAAUUUUGUUAAAAAAAUAUAUAUAUAUUGAAGUACUUUACUGCUUCCAUGGACUUUCACUGAUAACAUAAUAUUUGGGCUGGAUUACCCAUUGAUAACAGGUUAUUAAAUGCCAGAAGCAGGAGACUGAAGACCAGAAAGCCUAAACUAUAAGAAAGCAAAGAAUGAUGUCCCGUUUUAUAUGGUAAUGAAAUAUCUAUGAAAUGAGACAUUUGUUUUAUCUUACAACAAUGAUUAUGCUAUAUGUGGAGGUAAGUUAAUGUAGAGCUAAUUUUAUAUGUGCAUAAAUUUAUGUUAAGGUAAGGCUACUUCCACAUAUGCGUUAAAACUAUCUCUCAGGCUGUUCCGGCAGUCUGGCGGAGUUCAUUUUAUCCUGCAUAGAGGUAAAAUAUGUGCAGGUAAGUUUGUGUGGAGAUAAGAUUAUGAGGAGGUAGGUUAAAUGUUGAUUAAGUGCUUUUUUUUGUCUUGUAAUUUUUGACAAUAGAGGUAAGUUUAUGAUGAGGUUAAUUUGUGCGCAGGUAAGUUUAUAUGGAGGUAAAUGUAUGUGCAGGUAAGUUUAUAUGGAGGUAAAUGUAUGUGCAGGUAAGUUUAUAUGGAGGUAAAUGUAUGUGCAGGUAAGUUUAUAUGGAGGUAAAUGUAUGUGCAGGUAAGUUUAUAUAGAGGUAAAUGUAUGUGCAGGUAAGUUUAUAUAGAGGUAAAUGUAUGUGCAGGCAAGUUUAUAUAGAGGUAAAUGUAUGUGCAGGUGAGUUUAUAUGGAGGUAAAUGUAUGUGCAGGUAAGUUUAUAUAGAGGUAAAUGUAUGUGCAGGUAAGUUUAUAUAGAGGUAAAUGUAUGUACAGGUAAGUUUAUAUGGCGAAAAAUGUAUGUGCAGGUGAGUUUAUAUAGAGGUAAAUGUAUGUGCAGGUAAGUUUGUGUGGAGGUAAAUGUAUGUGCAGGUAAGUUUAUAUGGAGGUAAAUGUAUGUGCAGGCAAGUUUAUAUAGAGGUAAAUGUAUGUGCAGGUAAGUUUAUAUGGAGGUAAAUGUAUGUGCAGGUAAGUUUAUAUAGAGGUAAAUGUAUGUGCAGGUAAGUUUAUAUAGAGGUAAAUGUAUGUGCAGGUAAGUUUAUAUGGAGGUAAAUGUAUGUGCAGGUAAGUUUAUAUGGAGGUAAAUGUAUGUGCAGGUAAGUUUGUAUAGAGGUAAAUGUAUGUGCAGGUAAGUUUGUGUGGAGGUAAAUGUAUGUGCAGGUAAGUUUAUAUGGAGGUAAAUGUAUGUGCAGGUAAGUUUAUAUGGAGGUAAAUGUAUGUGCAGGUAAGUUUGUAUAGAGGUAAAUGUAUGUGCAGGUAAGUUUAUAUAGAGGUAAAUGUAUGUGCAGGUAAGUUUGUGUGGAGGUAAAUGUAUGUGCAGGUAAGUUUGUGUGGAGGUAAAUGUAUGUGCAGGUAAGUUUGUGUGGAGGUAAAUGUAUGUGCAGGUAAGUUUGUGUGGAGGUAAAUGUAUGUGCAGGUAAGUUUAUAUGGAGGUAAAUGUAUGUGCAGGUAAGUUUGUAUAGAGGUACUUGUAUGUGCAGGUAAGUUUGUG